rnacentral:rRNA from 1 species
GACGAACGCUGGCGGCGUGCUUAACACAUGCAAGUCGAACGGAAAGGCCCUGAUUUUGUGGGGUGCUCGAGUGGCGAACGGGUGAGUAACACGUGAGUAACCUGACCUUGACUUUGGGAUAACUUCAGGAAACUGGGGCUAAUACCGGACAGGAGCUCCCGCUGCAUGGUGGGGGUUGGAAAGUUUCGGCGGUUGGGGAUGGACUCGCGGCUUAUCAGCUUGCUGGUGGGGUAGUGGCUUACCAAGGAUUUGACGGGUAGCCGGCCUGAGAGGGUGACCGGGCACAAUGGGACUGAGAUACGGCCCAGACUCCUACAUGAGGCAGCGGUGGGGAGUAUUGCACAGUGGGCGGGAGCCUGAUGCAGCAACGCCGCGUGCGUGAUGACGGCCUUCGGGUUGUGAACCGCUUUCGCCUGUGACGAAGCGUGAGUGACGGUAAUGGGUGAAGAAGCACCGGCUAACUACGUG